rnacentral:rRNA from 1 species
AUUGAACGCUGGCGGUAUGCUUAACACAUUCAAGUCGAACGCUGAUAAGGUGCUUGCACCUUUGAUGAGUGGCGGACGGGUGAGUAAUGCAUAGGAAUCUGCCUAUUAGUGGGGGACAACGUGGGGAAACUCACGCUAAUACCGCAUACGAUCUACGGAUGAAAGCAGGGGACCUUCGGGCCUUCCGCUAAUAGAUGAGCCUAUGUCGGACUAGCUAGUUGGUAGGGUAAAGGCCUACCAAGGCGACGAUCCGUAGCUGGUCUGAGAGGAUGAGCAGCGCCGCUGGGACUGAGACACGAGCCAGACUCCUACGGGAGGCAGCAGGGGGGAGAAUUGGACACAGGGCGCAAGCCUGAUCCAGCAAUGCCGCGUGUGUGAAGAAGGCCUGAGGGUUGUAAAGCACUUUCAAUGGGAAGGAAUACCUACCGGCCAAUACCCGGUAGACUGACAUUACCCAUACAAGUAGCACCGGCUAACUCCGUGCCAGCCGCCGCAGUAAGAC